AUUGAACGCUGGCGGCAGGCCUAACACAUGCAAGUCGAACGAGUGGCGGACGGGUGAGUAAUGUCUGGGAAACUGCCCGAAGGAGGGGGAUAACUACUUGAAACGGUAGCUAAUACCGCUUACUAUCGGAUGUGCCCAGAUGGGAUUAGCUAGUAGGUGGGGUAACGGCUCACCUAGGCGACGAUCCCUAGCUGGUCUUAGAGGAUGACCAGCAACACUGGAACUGAGAACCGGGCCAGAUUCCUACGGGAGGAAGCAGUGGGGAGUAUUGCACAAUGGGCGAAAGCCUGAUGCAGCCAUGCCGCGUGUAUGAAGAAGGCCUUCGGGUUGUAAAGUACUUUCAGCGAGGAGGCGUUACUCGCAGAAGAAGCACCGGCUAACUCCGUGCCAGCAGCCGCGGUAAUAC
rnacentral:rRNA from 1 species